rnacentral:tRNA from 3 species
GACACUUUGGCCGAGUGGUUAAGGCGGUGCCCUGCGUAGGCAUUACGUUCGCGUGCGUAGGUUCGAAUCCUGCAGGUGUCG